rnacentral:rRNA from 1 species
AUUGAACGCUGGCGGCAGGCCUAACACAUGCGAGUCGAACGGUAACAGGGAACAGCUUGCUGUUUCGCUGACGAGUGGCGGACGGGUGAGUAAUGUCUGGGAAACUGCCUGAUGGAGGGGGAUAACUACUGGAAACGGUAGCUAAUACCGCAUAACGUCGCAAGACCAAAGAGGGGGACCCUCGGGCCUCUUGCCCUCGGAUGUGCCCAGAUGGGAUUAGCUUGUUGGUGGGGUAACGGCUCACCAAGGCGACGAUCCCUAGCUGGUCUGAGAGGAUGACCAGCCACACUGGAACUGAGACACGGUCCAGACUCCUACGGGAGGCAGCAGUGGGGAAUAUUGCACAAUGGGCGCAAGCCUGAUGCAGCCAUGCCGCGUGUAUGAAGAAGGCCUUCGGGUUGUAAAGUACUUUCAGCGGGGAGGAAGGGAGUAAAGUUAAUACCUUUGCUCAUUGACGUUACCCGCAGAAGAAGCACCGGCUAACUCCGUG